CAGGGAGACAACACAAUGAUUUUGAUGCCUGAGUGCUUUUAUUCUUAGGCCGAAAUCCUGUCACCUUAGGUCGAUCGGUACCUCAGCUUUGAAGUCAAGGAUCAGCAGCAAUGUUGAUUGCUUGAUGGAGAUUUUCAGUUCCUAAACUCUGUCUAGGUCACACCCCAAAAGGGAUGAGACUCCUGGGCCAUUAGCUCAGGUGGUUAGAGCGCACCCCUGAUAAGGGUGAGGUCCCUGGUUCAAGUCCAGGAUGGCCCAUUCGGUGUUGGGGGUUUAGCUCAGUUGGUAGAGCGCCUGCUUUGCAAGCAGGAUGUCAGGAGUUCGAGUCUCCUAACCUCCACUGACCGAACUUGAUUCCCAUCUCCAAUUUUUUGGAGUUGAGCUCGAUUGGAGUGUGAUUUAGAUGUGUCCGCUGGAUGACCCCAGCUUCCUGUCAUUCCAAGUUUUAGGUUGGUGCCUUGAAUUUGGUUGAUAAGAUGCUGGGCUCGGAUCAAAUGAUCAAGCAAUUGAUGAUUUGAUUUGAGGUUCUAGCAGAACCUUGACAACUGCAUAGGUGAGUCUGGAAAAAACAAAGCAUCUUACAGAUGCAUUGUUUUGAAUCUGAUCUUCUGAAAGGGAGAUUGGAUCUAGAACAAUGAAAAUUCUUUUGAGCAAGAGCCGAGACUCUUGAGCGUUCUUUGAUUGGUGUCGAGCCAAUCAGAGUUUGAUCUUGUUUUUAGCAAUAAAAACUUGAGAAUCUGCUUUCAACGGCGGUAAGCGUUCAGGAGGUUAAUU
rnacentral:tRNA from 1 species